GGCCAAACCUGAAUAAAAUCUGGAUUCU
rnacentral:piRNA from 1 species